UCUAAUAUGGCAGAAUAGUGCAAUGAAUUUAAGCUUCAUAAAUAAAAGAUCUCUUUUUAUUAGAA
rnacentral:tRNA from 1 species